GAGUUUGAUCAUGGCUCAGAUUGAACGCUGGCGGCAGGCUUAACACAUGCAAGUCGAGCGGAUGAAGGGAGCUUGCUCCUGGAUUCAGCGGCGGACGGGUGAGUAAUGCUUAGGAAUCUGCCUAUUAGUGGGGGACAACAGUUGGAAACGACUGCUAAUACCGCAUACGCCCUACGGGGGAAAGGAGGGGAUCUUCGGACCUUUCGCUAAUAGAUGAGCCUAAGUCAGAUUAGCUAGUUGGUGGGGUAAAGGCCUACCAAGGCGACGAUCUGUAGCGGGUCUGAGAGGAUGAUCCGCCACACUGGGACUGAGACACGGCCCAGACUCCUACGGGAGGCAGCAGUGGGGAAUAUUGGACAAUGGGGGCAACCCUGAUCCAGCCAUGCCGCGUGUGUGAAGAAGGCCUUUUGGUUGUAAAGCACUUUAAGCGAGGAGGAGGCUCUUCUAGUUAAUACCUAGGAUGAGUGGACGUUACUCGCAGAAUAAGCACCGGCUAACUCUGUGCCAGCAGCCGCGGUAAUACAGAGGGUGCGAGCGUUAAUCCGAUUUACUGGGCGUAAAGCGUACGUAGGCGGCUUUUUAAGUCCGAUGUGAAAUUCCCGAGCUUAACUUAAGAAUUGCAUUGCCAUACUGGGAAACUAGAGUAUGGGAGAAGAUGGUUAAAAUUUCCCGGUGUAACGGUGAAAAUCGUAUAGAAUCUUGAGGGAUACCCAUGGGCGAAAGCGGCCCAUCUGGCCUAAUACUGACGCUGAGGUACGAAAGCAUGGGGAGCAAACAGGAUUAGAUACCCUGGUAGUCCAUGCCGUAAACGAUGUCUACUAGCCGUUGGGGCCUUUGAGGCUUUAGUGGCGCAGCUAACGCGAUAAGUAGACCGCCUGGGGAGUACGGUCGCAAGACUAAAACUCAAAUGAAUUGACGGGGGCCCGCACAAGCGGUGGAGCAUGUGGUUUAAUUCGAUGCAACGCGAAGAACCUUACCUGGUCUUGACAUAGUAAGAACUUUCCAGAGAUGGAUUGGUGCCUUCGGGAACUUACAUACAGGUGCUGCAUGGCUGUCGUCAGCUCGUGUCGUGAGAUGUUGGGUUAAGUCCCGCAACGAGCGCAACCCUUUUCCUUAUUUGCCAGCGGGUUAAGCCGGGAACUUUAAGGAUACUGCCAGUGACAAACUGGAGGAAGGCGGGGACGACGUCAAGUCAUCAUGGCCCUUACGACCAGGGCUACACACGUGCUACAAUGGUCGGUACAAAGGGUUGCUACUCCGCGAGGAGAUGCUAAUCUCAAAAAGCCGAUCGUAGUCCGGAUCGCAGUCUGCAACUCGACUGCGUGAAGUCGGAAUCGCUAGUAAUCGCGGAUCAGAAUGCCGCGGUGAAUACGUUCCCGGGCCUUGUACACACCGCCCGUCACACCAUGGGAGUUUGUUGCACCAGAAGUAGGUAGUCUAACCGUAAGGAGGACGCUUACCACGGUGUGGCCGACGACUGGGGUGAAGUCGUAACAAGGUAACCGUA
rnacentral:rRNA from 1 species